rnacentral:rRNA from 1 species
GUAACUGCGAGCGAACAGGGAUAAGCCCAGCACCGAAUCCCGCGGCCGACACCGGACGCCGGGAAAUGUGGUGUUAGGGAGGAUUCAUAUAUCCCGAGAUUUUGCGGUGCGUCCAAGUCCUUCUUGAACGGGGCCACAGUCCAUAGAGGGUGCCAGACCCGUAGUGACCACUGCUGAUCGCGGGAGAAUCUCUCCUCAGAGUCGGGUUGCUUGAGAGUGCAGCCCUAAGUGGGUGGUAAACUCCAUCUAAGGCUAAAUAUGACCACGAGACCGAUAGCGAACAAGUACCGUGAGGGAAAGUUGAAAAGCACUUUGAAGAGAGAGUUCAAGAGUACGUGAAACCGUUCAGGGGUAAACCUGAGAAACCCGAAAGGUCGAAAGGGGAAAUUCAUUCGCGUCUCGAUGUUGGCAUUGAAUGAUCGUAUGACGAAUAGCGUCCGCGUUGUUCGCAUCUUUUAUUCUUUGAACUAAUGUCGAAUGCGUGCACUUUUCCCCUAGUAGGACGUCGCGAUCCGUUGGGUGUCGGUCUAAGGCCCAUGGUGGAGCCCAUUCGGACAGUUUACACUGUUUCGUAUGGACCCGUGGUGUUUCCCGACCGGCUCGCUCGACGGUAUACAGAUGGCGCAGAGCCGCGACACAGUUCGCGUUCGGCCCUUUGCAAGCACAAUUCGGUGUUUGCCGGUGAUCGGACCUAGUGCCGUUCCUGG